rnacentral:rRNA from 1 species
UGGGGAAUAUUGCACAAUGGACGGAAGUUUGAUGCAGCGACGCCGCGUGGAGGGUGUAGGACUUCGGGUUGUGAACUCCUUUUUCUCGCGAAAAAGGCACAGUUUUGGCUGUGUUGAUGGUAGUGGGGGAAGAAGCGCCGGCUAACUACGUGCCAGCAGCCGCGGUAAUACGUAGGGCGCGAGCGUUGUCCGGAGUUAUUGGGCGUAAAGAGCUCGUAGGUGGUUCGUCGCGUCUGUCGUGAAAGCCAGCAGCUUAACUGUUGGUCUGCGGUGGGUACGGGCGGGCUUGAGUGCGGUAGGGGUGACUGGAAUUCCUGGUGUAGCGGUGGAAUGCGCAGAUAUCAGGAGGAACACCGAUGGCGAAGGCAGGUCACUGGGCCGUUACUGACACUGAGGAGCGAAAGCGUGGGGAGCGAACAGG